AGACUUUGAUCCUGGCUCAGAUUGAACGCUGGCGGCAUGCCUUACACAUGCAAGUCGAACGGGAACGCGGGGCAACCUGGCGACGAGUGGCGAACGGGUGAGUAAUGUAUCGGAACGUGCCCAGUUGUGGGGGAUAACUGCUCGAAAGAGCAGCUAAUACCGCAUACGACCUGAGGGUGAAAGCGGGGGAUCGCAAGACCUCGCGCAAUUGGAGCGGCCGAUAUCAGAUUAGGUAGUUGGUGGGGUAAAGGCCCACCAAGCCAACGAUCUGUAGCUGGUCUGAGAGGACGACCAGCCACACUGGGACUGAGACACGGCCCAGACUCUUACGGGAGGCAGCAGUGGGGAAUUUUGGACAAUGGGCGCAAGCCUGAUCCAGCCAUGCCGCGUGCGGGAAGAAGGCCUUCGGGUUGUAAACCGCUUUUGUCAGGGAAGAAACGCUCUGGGUUAAUACCUCGGGGUAAUGACGGUACCUGAAGAAUAAGCACCGGCUAACUACGUGCCAGCAGCCGCGGUAAUACGUAGGGUGAAAGCGUUAAUCGGAAUUACUGGGCGUAAAGCGUGCGCAGGCGGUUAUGCAAGACAGAGGUGAAAUCCCCGGGCUCAACCUGGGAACUGCCUUUGUGACUGCAUAGCUAGAGUACGGUAGAGGGGGAUGGAAUUCCGCGUGUAGCAGUGAAAUGCGUAGAUAUGCGGAGGAACACCGAUGGCGAAGGCAAUCCCCUGGACCUGUACUGACGCUCAUGCACGAAAGCGUGGGGAGCAAACAGGAUUAGAUACCCUGGUAGUCCACGCCCUAA
rnacentral:rRNA from 1 species